CUGCAGGGGAACAGGGGAUGUGACACACUGUGACCUGAAGCGUCUCUGAAGCUGCUGAGUCGCCUGUUUGAUCUGCAUUUGGAAAUUGUCUUCCAUACAAAUCAGAGUUUAGCCUGCCCCCAUCACAGCCUGCUGUCUGUCACACACGUCAGAGCAACACUGCAGUGUCUAUCAAACGUAACUGACAAACAUUCCUUUUGCUAUCAGGAGUCACAGCAGUGAAGAAUAUGAGUCAAUCCAGGGGCCGGUCUCCUAAAUGGAAUCAUAAUGCAGCUGGAGAGGAACGAGGUUAAUAAAUGAGGGCAGGAAAGAGAAGAGAAAGACGAGCAGCAGCAGGAGGAUGAGGAAGAGGAAGAUCAAUGUUUACUGGAAGGUGAAACCUGUGAACGUGCAGCCUGCCUGUGACCCCAGCUCACUGAUGCAGCACAGGCCUGAAUCGAUCCAGUCCUGUCUACUGACCACACUGACAUGUUGGAAGGUUACAGUGGUGUUGACAGGGAGCACACUGCAUUGAUGCUGCUGCACAGCAUUCAAACCUUCAACUAUGGAAGCACAACUUAUACUAACA